rnacentral:lncRNA from 1 species
GUGACCUGGAGGUCAGAGGCAGAGGGACAUGGGGUCUGUUUCUCGAAGGAGGUGGCCCUGCUGUGGGCCUUUGUGGCUGGGUGGGAUUCAGACUAUGGGCGAGUGGGGAGAAGACGAGGCAUGGGUGGAGUCUGAGAGCAAAUCCCAGGCCACUGCCCAUGCCCGUGCCUCCUCUGCUGGGGACAGGCCACCCUUCCUCUGUUCUGCCUCCGCUUUCCUCCCCAGGUUCAGAUUAAGUAUUCAGGUGCCUGGCCUCAUGCUGCACUUUGUUUAUUUAUUAAUUUUUUAAAUGGAGUCUCGCUCUGUUACCCAGGCUGGAGUGCAGUGGCACAAUCUCCGCUUACUGCAACCUCUGCCUCUGGGGUUCAAGCGAUUCUCCUGCUUCAGCUUCCUGAGUAGCUG